CUCGUUCUGUAGUUCGCCUGCGUUGCAUUUCGAGGAAGAACAAAUCCGGGCUAAGAAGAUAAUGGGAAAAGAAAAGAUCUUCUUCGGCAGUGAUGAGACGAAAGGGAAGAAACGGCCAGCCCGUACUGUGGAAGUGGAUUCUGAGAUCCUGGAAAUUGUUCUGCACUAUGAUGGAGAAUUUGGAGAAGGUGGUUAUUUGUGGGACGAG